AGGUUUUUCUUUCGUUUAAAGAUGACACACUCUGAAAUUAAUUUGAUUUUGAGAUUUGAGAACUUGGACAUACAUACUUCCUAUGGAAGAUUCAAUGCCAUCCCCAUCAAGCUACCAAUGACUUUCUUCACAGAAUUGGAAAAAACUACUUUAAAGUUCAUAUGGAACCAAUAAAGAGCCUGCAUUGCCAAGUCAAUCCUAAGCCAAAAGAACAAAGCUGGAGGCAUCACACUACCUGACUUCAAACUAUACUACAAGGCUACAGUAACCAAAACAGCAUGGUACUGGUACCAAAACAGAGAUGUAGACCAAUGGAACAGAAUUUUUUGUAGUUUUUUAAAAAAUCACACAUUUUGCAGCCUUCGUGUAUUUGUAUAAAUAUCUGUUUACACAUUGCUUUGUUUUCUGGUAUUAUUUCUUGUUAAUUCCUUAAGGAAACAUUGUAGACUCUUAUAUAUGCCUUGUAUAUUCUUGUUCAGUGAAUGAAUAACUUAAGAACAGAAAUAUGUCAUGUAGAUAUAUAAAUUUCUGAGAAAUAAUCUAGUCCUAUCUCCAAAUUACUGAAGACAAAGAAACAGAAACUUGG
rnacentral:lncRNA from 1 species